UAGGGAAUUUUCCACAAUGGGCGCAAGCCUGAUCCAGCCAUGCCGCGUGGAUGAUGAAGGCCUUAGGGUUGUAAAAUCCUUUCGCCGAGGACGAUAAUGACGGUACUCGGAGAAGAAGCUCCGGCUAACUUCGUGCCAGCAGCCGCGGUAAUACGAAGGGGGCUAGCGUUGUUCGGAUUUACUGGGCGUAAAGCGCGUGUAGGCGGGUCGUUAAGUUGGGGGUGAAAUCCCGAGGCUCAACCUCGGAACUGCCUUCAAAACUGGCGACCUGGACCUAAGUAGAGGCAAGUGGAAUUGCGAGUGUAGAGGUGAAAUUCGUAGAUAUUCGCGGGAACACCAGUGGCGAAGGCGACUUGCUGGACUUAUGGUGACGCUGAGACGCGAAAGCGUGGGGAGCAAACAGGAUUAGAUACCCCCGUAGUCCCUGAGCGGGCUGGCAAGGCGCAU
rnacentral:rRNA from 1 species